GAGCACAGAGAGCAUUAACACACAACUGAUCUGAUCAUAUUCACCAUGAACAAAUACAUGCUGCUGCUUUUCAUUAUGGCAUCAGCUGCUGUCCUCGGAAAUGCCAUUAAACCAAACAAAACAGAUGUUUUCGCUGAUGAGGGUUCAAGUGUUACAUUAUCCUGUAGUUUUUCUGCAUCUGGAGGUUCAGAUUAUCUCUACUGGUACCGUCAGUAUGGAAGAUCAAAUCCUGAAUUUCUUGUACUCACCUUCGGUAGUGCAACGGAAGCUAAGGUGUCUGAUGUAGAUCCAAGAUUCACUGUUAAAGUUCCACAAAGGGAAAAUGUGAUUCUGGAGAUCUCCUCUGCUGCUGUAUCAGACUCUGCUCUGUACUACUGUGCUCUGCAGCCCACAGUGACAGGAAACACAUCAGCUCUCUACAAAAACCUGUUACUAUGAGAGACGAGACAAGAGAGAAAGAAAAUGUCAAAAAGAAGCUAGCAUACAAAUAUUUAAGUAAUCUAAUGCAAAAAGGAUCAAAUCAUGUAUUCUAAAAUGAGUCAAAUUAUUUUUAAUCUGUUAAUUUGUGAAAUUUAGCUGUUUUGUUUAUGCAAUUCUUGCAGUUAACCAGUAGAUGGCAGUAGGUACUUAAUAUUACCUUUGAGAAUACAGUAGGUUGGUUAUUUAUUUAUUUUUGGAUCAUCAUUAUUAUACUAAAAGCUUCCAACCACUGAUUUAUCUUUAAAGAGCAUUCAACAUGUCACACUGCUUCUUUUCACACUAUUCAUUCUUGGUAUGGAC